rnacentral:rRNA from 1 species
AUGGCAACCUACCGGCAGGGAGAUCGCCUCGAGGCGCUGGAGCGGAUCCUAUCCCACCUCCCGUCCGACGAGGCCACGCGCGCCACCGCGCUGUCCCGCCGGUGGCGCCGCGUCUGCGACGGCGUGCCGGUCGUGGACCUCGUCGACCGCAAGACGGACCGCCGGGGGCGGGGACUCAACCUCCCUGUGUGCUUCGACAGCAAGGUGACGGGCGCCAUCUUCUCCAAGGGCCCCACCACGCCGAUCCGUGUCCUCCGGCUGCACGCGCGCCAGCCGCCGGACGACCUACUCGACAGCUGGAUCGCCACCGCCGCCUCCUCCGGCGCCGAGGAGGUCGACCUCGCGCUGCAGGGCAGCUACACCAGGACGCCGCGCCAGCUCUUCCGGUGCGCCAGGCUGCGCCGCCUGCGCCUGGCCAACUGGACGCUCGACCUGCCCUGGGGCGUCGUAGUCGCCGCGUCGCUCCAGACGCUCUGCCUGAAGCGGAUCAUGGCGCCUGCCGCGGUGCUGCAGCAGCUGGUCUCGAGCUGCCCGCACCUCGCCGACCUGACGCUCGAGGAGUGCCCGACCGCCACCACGAUCACCGGCGGCCUCCCUUCGGACACGUUCCUAGACGUCCCCAACUAUGGCCAAGUGGCGGCGCUGACGAUCGAUAUCUGCGAGGACCUCACAAGCAAAGCACCAAUGGAGGUUGCUCCAGUCUUGGAGCUCAUCAGCCGGUGCAAGAAUCUGACGUACCUUCGCCUCGAGCCGCGCCCCUCAAUGGCCUACUGCAGCAGCGAGAUCACAGCUAUAGCCAACGACCACUUACCCCAGCUCCGGCACCUGGUCCUCAAGGGGUUCUUGGCCGCCGAUCACGUCGUCCGGUCCGUCGCCGUCCUGGUCGCCAGCACCCUACACCUGGAAGCGCUGUCGUUGUUUCCUCUGGGCUCCGAGACAUUGAAGAAGACAUACUGCUCUGACGAUGAGUACGGCGGCGACUCAGAUUCAGACCCUGAGCCGGAGAUCUGUGACAACGACGACGACGACGACACCUAUGAUGAUGGCUGGAUGUUCAGGAGCAUGUGGCGAUGGGGCAUCCCUUGCUCCCGCCAUAGCCUCAAAAGGAUCAACAUCGCGAAGUACACUGGGAAUGGCUUCGACAGGAUACUUGCAAAUUUUCUGCUGUCGAAUGGUGCAGCUUUGGAGGAAUUCUCAGUGGCCUUAGCGGCUCCACUGUGGCCGCGCAGGGAGGAGAUUGCAAUGAUGUUCAGAUCCUGGCGACAUAAUCCCAGGACCAUAGUAACUUGUACUAGCUAG